rnacentral:tRNA from 1 species
GAGGGUAUAGCUGAGUGGUAGAGUCUGUACCUAACAUGCACAACGUCCUGGGUUCAAUCCCCAGUAUCUCCA